AAGUCUCCAGCGGGUCGAAAGAGAAGGAAACAUCAUGGCUGAAAGCAAUUAUGGAAGACCAAAAGAUGCACGGAAUGAUCGUGGCAGUCGGCAUUGGACUGGCUGUCCUCGUAGCCUUCAUCACGUUCACUCUAUUCACGUCACCGCCA
rnacentral:lncRNA from 1 species